rnacentral:rRNA from 1 species
CAAUAGCGUAUAUUUAAGUUGCUGCAGUUAAAAAGCUCGUAGUUGGAUUUCGGGUGGGAAUGGCCGGUCCGCCGUUUCGGUGUGCACUUGCUACGCCCACCUUGCUGCCGGGGACGUGCUCUUGAGUUCACGCUCGGGACACGGAGUCGGCGAGGUUACUUUGAGUAAAUUAGAGUGUUCAAAGCAGGCCUACGCUCUGAAUACAUUAGCAUGGAAUAACACGAUAGGACUCUGGCCUAUCUUGUUGGUCUGUAGGACCGGAGUAAUGAUUAAGAGGGACAGUCGGGGGCAUUCGUAUUUCAUUGUCAGAGGUGAAAUUCUUGGAUUUAUGAAAGUCGAACUACUGCGAAAGCAUUUGCCAAGGAUGUUUUCAUUAA